rnacentral:rRNA from 1 species
CAGGAUGAACGCUAGCUACAGGCUUAACACAUGCAAGUCGAGGGCAGCAUGAAACUUAGCUUGCUAAGUUUGAUGGCGACCGGCGCACGGGUGAGUAACACGUAUCCAACCUACCGUUUACUACGGGAUAGCCUUCUGAAAAGGAGAUUAAUACCGUAUGGCAUUCUAAAGUUUCAUGACAUUAGAAUUAAAGGUUUACCGGUAAUCGAUGAGGAUGCGUUCCAUUAGAUAGUAGGCGGGGUAACGGCCCACCUAGUCAGCGAUGGAUAGGGGUUCUGAGAGGAAGGUCCCCCACAUUGGAACUGAGACACGGUCCAAACUCCUACGGAGGCAGCAGUGAGGAAUAUUGGUCAAUGGGCGAGAGCCUGAACCAGCCAAAAGUAGCGUGAAGGAUGACUGCCCUAUGGGUUGUAAACUUCUUUUAUAAAGGAAUAAAGUGGUCCACGUGUGGAUUUUUGUAUGUACUUUAUGAAUAAGGAUCGGCUAACUCCGUGCCAGCCGCCGC